UUCCAGGACUUACACCAGUGGCAUCUCCAGCUCUCUAGACGUUGGCCUUGUACUGAUAAUGACAGCGUCAGCUUCCCUGGUUCUGAGGCUGCCGGAUUUGGACUGAGCCAUGCUUCUGGCAUCCCAGAGUCUCCAGCUUGCAGAUGGCCUACCACAGGACUUCUCAGCAUUCAUAAUCACGCCCCAGGGGCAAGGAGCAGGGAGAUAUAAGAAGUCAUAGGCUCAGCCCUGGAAGUGGUCACUGUCACAUGCAUCAGUGGAAGUCUCCAGUUCCUGCUGGACCAACACAGGAUUGUGACUUCCAUCUUGUGACUCUCCCCCUGUCUUGCUGGCUUUGAAGAAGCAAGCAUGGAAAGAAAUUGAGGGUGACCUCUAG